GUUUUUUGUUUUUUAUUUUGUUUUUCUUCUUUUUAAUGUAUGAUCUUUAAAGAAAAAAAAGUUUUGGUAUUAGGUUUCUUAAUUGACCAACUAACACUUUUAUAUAAGUUUUAAAUAAAAGAGACCAUGUAACUGAAAUGUUAUUAGCCAAAAUGGCACGUGUUUCAUAGAGCCAGCAUUCCCCCAAGAAGAGCUUCUGUCAUUGUAUCACUACAGAGCUGGUGGCUGCUCUGACACUUCGCACAGUUCCUUCAUCUGGGUAGUACAGAAUUUCUCAAUAAUAUAAUGGGCUUUCUUAAUUCUUUAUUUCCCCAUUUCUUUAAAAAAAAUCCUGGAUUGCAGGGAUAAAGUUUUUACUCCACAAAAAGUAAUUGCAAAAUGCAUGCUCACUUUGAUGCCUUGAAGGUCAUUCCUUUGAGCAUCUGUUAAGUUGUUAAUCUUUCAAUUCUGAUGCAGCAACCGGGAUGCUAACUUCUAGAGACUGCUUCUAGAUGCCCGUGGAGAGCUGGGUGCCUUCCCAUAACAGGAACUCAGGCACAUCUCCCUCUGCUGCCGUUUUGGGAAGAACCCUGGGGAGUCAAUAGGCCUAGAGAGCUGUGGGCUUGUCUGUUGUCUUUUUGUGAAACAGAUAUGCAAGUAUAAACAAUGUAGACAUCUUUUUUUGGAACCCUAAUCCCAAUAAAUUCUUUUGACUGGAAAUUGGAGAAUCAGGCUGGUUUUGACAAAAGAAAUGAAAUUAACAUUAGCAGUGAGCAAACCUGUGAGUCCUUCUGAGGAAAUCCAAUGUUAGAUUUUGCACACUUUCUAAAUUGGGCAUGAUUUUCAGAUUGGCUCAUUCUGUUCUUACCAAUAUCUUAGCCUAAAUUGUACACUCCAUACAUGGGACAUCCCAUUAGGUCUUGUUGAGCCUUGGUGGUCAUACAUAGAACAAAUGAAACACAGUCAGGCUGUAUUUAUGUGCAUUAUUUUUUAAAAAUUUGGUCAGUUGAUACUGACCCCAGAACAGUGUGGCAACCAACACUCCUGCUUUAUGUCAGGUGCCUCAGGUUCAGGAAAGUUCUAGCACAGUGCCACCAUUUAUAAGGGUACUGGCCAUACUCAAAAUGCAGAACCAAAUCACUGCAAUUAUAUAGAUGCUUUGGGGCCCUUCUUAGACUAAGUUAGUUUUAGAAGUCCAGGCCUGACCCAGGACUUGUGUCUGGAGAGUUAGCACCCACCCUAGACUUGCUAGAGAAGGCUGCUGUCUGCAGUGCCAUCUCUUAGUGAGCGCUAACUCUGCUCCAGGCCUUGUGGGGAAAGGGCACUGGGAAGCCUUGAGAGAGGUAAGUUCCCACCCUCCAGCCUGUCUCCAGCCACAGCUUGCUCCAUGCUGUCAGGAUCUGGACUUGGGGGGAGUGUCUCUGUAGUGGGACCAGUGACAGAAGCUGUUCUUUAGAAUUUUCAGGAUGGCUGUAUUCUGCGGUCAGAAUGAGAGAGUCAAGCUGGGCAGAAUCUCUCGCCAAGAGCUCAGGUAAGGUAAUGUUUAUUCACUGGGAAUGCCUUCCCCAGCAAGACAGCUAUGCUGACAGUCUUCAGUUUCCUCCCAGUUAGCUUAGACAUAAAUGAUAAACUUACGACUUUAAAAAAAAAACUGAAUUUGUUUGAAUUUUUCAUGUAAAACUGCUUUUCUUUCCCCCAUACGAGCUCAUUUGAAAUGCCGUUGCUUUUUAAAGCCCUGUGUUGGAUAUGUGUUACCUCUGUCAUCUUUUCCCCUUGGAAAGUUUCGCAUAGUGCAAACACACCCAUGUCUUUCACCUUCCCUUCUCCUCUCUGGGAGGGCCUGAUUGCUUAUCCAGUGCUGCCAAGGGGGCACCCUAAGGUAUAGGAAAGGAAGGAGCCCAAACAGCACCCGCUGCCCUGGGAGACUGCUCCACACUGCUGCCCUGUGUGGGGAAAUGCUUCACUGCAGGCCUUCCUACUGAGUUGCAUCACUACAGGAGGCGAGGCUUUGGCCUCGUGACCCAGUUCCACAGUUUGGAUGCAUACUGGAAAAGAAACCAAUCUUCUUGCUAGUUAAUCUAUGCAGUGAGGACCAAACAUGGGUUCUAAAAAUUCUGCAGGAGGGUAAAGGUGGAUUGCAGUAGUUCUCAGAAUCUGAAAUCCCCCAUUUGAUCAGGUUAUUUACUGGGGCUUGACAUGACCCAAGAGACCUCCUAGGACAUUAGUAAACAAUUUGGUAUUAAGUUACUUUCAUAAAAACUGAAAGAGACUAUUUACCCCAGAAACCUGGCUUCCGGAAUUCAGCGUUAGGCACUACAGGCUGGCCCAUCUGUCUCUGUUGUAUGCCAUUUAGUAUCUUACAGCUGCAGACAGAAUUCCUUACUGAAGGAACCAGGGUAGAUGGGUGCAUGAGUUUAAUUUCUUUUUUCCUUUAAGGUGGGUACUGGUUUGGCUUUCUUUUGUUAUGGUUUGGUUUGAUUUUUGCCAACCUCAAUUUUAGCUACCAGGACUCGAAAAGACUCCGAAGGAUGCCAGCAUCCUUGCCCAGCAGGCCUAGAAUCUCGCAGUCUGUCGGGAGCAGAGUGUUUCCUCGCAGCUUAGCGUGCCAACAGCACUUGCAGUUUUAAGCAGAGUACCUCUUUAGGGAAAUUUUAGUUGUUGUUGUUUUUUUUUUUUUUUUUUUUUUUUUUUCUUCUCCUUAAUCUUCUUUCUUCAGCAGCAAGGUCUUUAUUGCUAGAGACUCUACUUCAUUGCAGCUUUGGGAUUCCCUCCUCGGUGAAAGCUGCCAUCCUGAUGCAUUGUACUCCAGACUCUGGAAGCAGAUAUGGCUCUGCCAUGCAUUUCCUCUACUGUGUAUAGUUGCAAGUGGGAGGCCAGCCCAUCUGUGUGAUGGCUAUCCCCGUUCGGCUCUGUAUGUUCCCACCAAAUGUUCCUGAUGCCCCUGCUAAUGUACAGUGUUUGUGAGAUGCUCUUUGAACAUGGUAUCUUUAAAUAUAUAUUUCAUUUUCAAUAAAAGUACACUGCUUCCC
rnacentral:lncRNA from 1 species